GUUCACGAGUUGCGGCUUUCGGUACCUGGCCGGCCGCACGGCAACCCGAGUCCAUCGACUUCCGGGUGCCCCAGGGGAAGAACGGGCGUCGUACCGUCCGGUGCGCCGCAAGGUUCGAUG
rnacentral:ncRNA from 2 species